rnacentral:lncRNA from 1 species
CCGGCUUUUCAGCUUGCUUUUUCCAGGAAUGCGCUGUGAUGUGUUUUUUUUUUUCAGUUUGCAAGACUGUGGUGUUCUUUUUCAAUUUUUAAAACUGUGGUGGCAGAUUUAGGAUUUUAUAGUGCACAGUUUCUAAUUACUGUUAUUAUAUUUAACUUUUGUAUAGUGUUGUGAUCAAAUAUAUGUUAUAUGAACUAUGUACCGUUCAGCGUAUAUUUGGAACAUGAUUUUUUCCCUAUGAAAUUGAACUGAUUCUUGUUAAAUUUCUGCAUGAUUCAAAUUCCUGCAUUCCAAACAAACUCCCAAAUUGUAUCCAAAUUGAAUAUAGUCAUUUUAGACAAUAAACAUAGUUUAUUGUUUUUUAUAUUUCAUGUCAGCAAAUAAACAUGAUCAACUGAAUAUAUUAAUUAAUUUUCAUAUUCAUCAACAAAUAUGUAUUACAAUAAUUACAUAUAGCAUAUCCCAAACUAUAGAUAUUGGCCCCUGAACUUAUUUCAAAUAUUCCAAAACUAU